AUUACCAAUAGAAAGGAAGAUUUGAUUCCAAAUCUUUCCAUGUAAAAGACACCACCCACCCUACCGCUCCUUUUGAAGCCAUCAUUCUAUCUAUCACUUAUAAAAUUUGAUAUUUAACAAACUUCUUUCAGAUGCAAAACUUGCCCUCUCAUUACUUCUAAUACCUUAUCUCUUGCCCACCUCCAGACAAAGAAGCAGAUUGGAUGUACAAGAAUCUUUUAUUAGCUACAGCAAGAAUUUAGAUAAACUGGUAAAGGAAGAAGAGGACACUGAUGACGACGACGACGAUGUCGAUGAGGAGCAGCCCCAUAGCGCCAAACGAUUAAAACUAGAUAAUACACCAAAAAUUAAUUUAAUCGGCGAUAGCUUGAGACCAGUUUGUUUUGCAUAUUUGGAUAUGUAUGGUAGAAGACAUCGUUUUGAAAAUCCUCUACAAGCGAUUGAAGUUUGUUUUCAGUGUUUUAUGGCAAUGAACAUUAAAUAUCCGAAAUUUUGUGAACAUGUUUGGAUAUUUGUUCAAAAGCUCAUCUUUCAAAUAACUACACCAAACGAUAUUGCUGUACCGUCGAUAAAUACACUGGUCAAUGAUUUGCAGCAGCUAUAAUUUCGUAAGUUUCAGUGGAUGUAGUUUACUUUUCUAAUUCUAAGAAUUUAAGUAAAGUGUUGUAAAAUUAAACAUGAUAAAUAAAUUAUAACAAAAUCAGACGAA